GACGAACGCUGGCGGCGUGCUUAACACAUGCAAGUCGAACGGACAGGCCCUGCUCUUGUGGCGUGCUCGAGUGGCGAACGCGUGAGUAACACGUGAGUAUCCUGCCCCUGACUUUGGGAUAACUUCAGGAAACUGGGGCUAAUACCGGAUAGGAGCUCCUGCUGCAUGGUGGGGGUUGGUAAGUUUCGGCGGUUGGGGCUAGUCUCGCGGCUUAUCAGCUUGUUGGUGGGGUAGUGGAUUACCAAGGCUUUGACGGAUAGCCGGCCUGAGAGGGUGGCCGGCCACAUGGGGACUGAGAGAGGGACCAGACUCCUACGGGAGGCAGCAGUGGGGAAUAUUGCACAAUGGGCGGAAGCCUGAUGCAGCAACGCCGCGUGCGGGAUGACGUCCUUCGGGUUGUAAACCGCUUUCGCCGGUGACGAAGCGUGAGUGACGGUAAUGGGUAAAGAAGCACCGGCUAACUACGUG
rnacentral:rRNA from 1 species